rnacentral:misc_RNA from 1 species
GAUGAAGAACGUAGCGAAAUGCGAUAAGUAGUGUGAAUUGCAGAAUUCAGUGAAUCAUCGAAUCUUUGAACGCACAUUGCGCCCCUUGGUAUUCCACGGGGCAUGCCUGUUCGAGCGUCAUCUACACCCUCAAGCUCUGCUUGGUGUUGGGCGUCUGUCCCGCCUCUGCGCGCGGACUCGCCCCAAAUUCAUUGGCAGCGGUCCUUGCCUCCUCUCGCGCAGCACAUUGCGCUUCUCGAGGUGCGCGGCCCGCGUCCACGAAGCAACAUUACCGUCUUUGACCUCGGAUCAGGUAGGGAUACCCGCUGAACUUAAGCAUAUCAAUAAGCGGAGGA